rnacentral:lncRNA from 1 species
UUUUGCAUUAUUUACUCACUCUGUGCUUGGCCAGGAAAUGCAUUUUGUUAACUGAUUUUUAUUAUUUAGGGAGGUUUUAGGGGAGUAUUGAGAAUCACUCCAGAAGAUUCACCAUUCGAGAUUAGCGCUGACGGAGUCAUUACAGUGGAGAAUUCUAUUGCUCUUGACAGAGAAAAAAGAACAAGCUUUUUUCUCCAGAUUGUAGCAAAAGAAGACAGCCCUCCCCAGCGAGAACAAACGGUGAAUGUACUUGUACACCUGCUGGAUGAAAAUGACAACAGCCCCAGCUUUGAUAGCUCUGAGUAUGUAGGGAAGGUUUUCAAGAACCAGACUGUCGGCAUGACUGUUGUCAAGGUAAAUGCAGACUGUGGAACUGUGUGAAAAAGGCUUGCUUCUGCUUGCCAGCAAUGGAGUGCUGGGUGAGGUACAUGUACAGAAUUUAAUCCCUUCAGGGCAUUGGAGUGCGGGUUACACUUCAUAAAACCAUGCAGAUAUAUUUUGAAGUAAUUCCGAUACACAACAGGACAAUGAAAAGAUGCUUGGCAUUUCAUUUUCAUUUAAGUAAGCUUUGAUGGAUAGGAAUAGGC